rnacentral:rRNA from 1 species
UGGGGAAUAUUGGACAAUGGGCGAAAGCCUGAUCCAGCCAUGCCGCGUGUGUGAAGAAGGUCUUCGGAUUGUAAAGCACUUUAAGUUGGGAGGAAGGGCAGUAAGCGAAUACCUUGCUGCUUUGACGUUACCGACAGAAUAAGCACCGGCUAACUCUGUGCCAGCAGCCGUGGUAAUACAGAGGGUGCAAGCGUUAACCGGAAUUACUGGGCGUAAAGCGCGCGUAGGUGGUUCGUUAAGUUGAAUGUGAAAGCCCCGGGCUCAACCUGGGAACUGCAUCCAAAACUGGCGGGCUAGAGUAGGGCAGAGGGUGGUGGAAUUUCCUGUGUAGCGGUGAAAUGCGUAGAUAUAGGAAGGAACACCAGUGGCGAAGGCGACCACCUGGGCUCAUACUAACACUGAGGUGCGAAAGCGUGGGGAGCAAACAGG